UGAGUAAUGCCUAGGAAUYCUGCCUGGUAGUGGGGGAUAACGUUCGGAAACGGACGCUAAUACCGCAUACGUCCUACGGGAGAAAGCAGGGGACCUUCGGGCCUUGCGCUAUCAGAUGAGCCUAGGUCGGAUUAGCUAGUUGGUGAGGUAAUGGCUCACCAAGGCGACGAUCCGUAACUGGUCUGAGAGGAUGAUCAGUCACACUGGAACUGAGACACGGUCCAGACUCCUACGGGAGGCAGCAGUGGGGAAUAUUGGACAAUGGGCGAAAGCCUGAUCCAGCCAUGCCGCGUGUGUGAAGAAGGUCUUCGGAUUGUAAAGCACUUUAAGUUGGGAGGAAGGGCAGUUACCUAAUACGUAAUUGUUUUGACGUUACCGACAGAAUAAGCACCGGCUAACUCUGUG
rnacentral:rRNA from 1 species